AGAGGAGAAACGGAAGUGGAGGAGAAGGAAGAGAUUGGAACGAAGGUCGUUGGUCUAGGGGAAGUGAAAGGUUGCGGCUGCAACAGUGUGAAGGUUUGUGACUAAGUGGCAUGUCUUCGUCAUGUGUCGAAUUGAAGCCCCCAUUCGCUUACUUGUGGCCACGUGGAAAUGUUCUGUUGGCCUCGUGUUUGCUGAGGGUUAUCACGUGGGCAGAGAGAUGAUGAAUGAUGUUCAGAAGACGAUGUGGUCACCAAAGACUAUAUUUAUCUGUGUCUCUUCAACCGAUUUCACUGCACUCCUUCUCUUCUUGUUUCUCUGUUCGUUAAACUCUCUCCCGAAACACGCCAUGAACAUCAGAGAAUCACACACAGAGAUUGGCAAAGAAAUAGGAGACUGCGCUUGAAAAUUUUUCAUUUCUUGAGAUUUGAAACAAGAACGUGACAGUGCCGCAAAAUUACCGGUGGGGUUACGGUGAUAUUUGUGUUAUUUUAUAAAGUGAGGUUUCUGUGCUGA